rnacentral:rRNA from 1 species
CAAACUGGGAUUAGAUACCCCACUAUGCUUAGCCCUAAACACAAAUAAUUAAAUUAACAAAAUUAUUCGCCAGAGCACUACCGGCAAUAGCCUAAAACUCAAAGGACUUGGCGGUGCUUUAUAUCCUUCUAGAGGAGCCUGUUCUAUAAUCGAUAAACCCCGAUAAACCUCACCAAUCCUUGCUAAUACAGUCUAUAUACCGCCAUCUUCAGCAAACCCUGAAAAGGAACAAAAGUAAGCACGAUCAUAAGACAUAAAAACGUUAGGUCAAGGUGUAACCUAUGGAGUGGGAAGAAAUGGGCUACAUUUUCUAUCUCAAGAAAACUUAAUACGAAAGUUGCUAUGAAACUAACAACCAAAGGAGGAUUUAGUAGUAAACUAAGAAUAGAGUGCUUAGUUGAAUCAGGCCAUGAAGCACGCACACACCGCCCGUCACCCUC